AUGUGGCUUAAAAGUCAGAUUUUGCUCUUAUAUUGCAUUGCAAGUGAAGUUUGGAUGGCAAAGCAGCUUGACUCUAGAAGAAAUAUCCCCCGAGGACUUUACUCUGUUGAAGACGGUGGUUCUGCAAAGUGGAACAGGCUAAAAAGGAGUUUGUAUCAGGGAAGGUCCUGCAGGAUACGAGGCUGCUGCACAGGAAGAGAUGAUGACUGCAGCUUUAACAUCGUCUCCAAAGCAGCUAUAUGUUACUGUGACCAGUUCUGUGCCUCAGGUUCUCCUGGCCCUGUAGACUGUUGUGCUGACUACUGGGAAGUCUGUGACAACCCUGUUGAGCCCACCAGGUCAGAUGAGCCUUGGCCACCUCCAACAUCGGGUUGUUAUAAAGAUGGCCGAUAUUACGGAGAAGGAACAAUAAUUAAAGACAACUGCAAUUCCUGCAAAUGCUUCCAAAAUCUCUGGAAGUGUUCAAAAGAAGUAUGCCUUGUUCGCGAAGACUUGAUUCAGCACAUCAAUUCUGGAGAUUAUGGAUGGAAAGCUGACAACUACAGUCAGUUCUGGGGAAUGACAGUGGAAGAAGGUUUCAAAAAGCGCCUGGGCACCUUCCCUCCAUCUCAUUCCUUGCUGAGUAUGAGAGAAGAUCCAGGAAACUCACUUCCAGAAGAAAAAUUUCCUGCAUUUUUUGCAGCCACUUACGCAUGGCCUGAAUGGAUUCAUGAUCCUCUGGAUCAACGAAACUGUGGAGCAUCCUGGGCUUUUUCAACCGCAAGUGUUGCAGCAGAUAGAAUAGCAAUUCAUUCCAAGGGUCAGAUCACAGACAACCUUUCCGUUCAGAAUUUGAUCUCUUGUGAUACCAGGAAUCAACAUGGAUGUAAUGGUGGAAGUAUUGAUGGUGCUUGGAGAUAUCUGAAAACACAUGGGGUUGUAUCCUAUGCUUGUUAUCCAUCAUUUUGGAACAAUCACCUGGAGCCAUCAGGUGAAAAUCACUGUUAUGUGUCAAGUGAAUAUGGAAAAAACUAUACAAAUGGGCCAUGUCCCAAUGCUUUAGAAGAAUCCAAUUGGUUAUACCGGUGUGCCUCUCACUACAGGGUCUCCUCAAAAGAAACCGAUAUAAUGAAAGAAAUCAUGGACAAAGGACCAGUGCAAGCUAUAAUGAAAGUGUAUGAAGAUUUUUUCCUUUACAAAGAGGGAAUCUAUAGACACUCCCAGAAAGCAGGAUCUAAAUGGAAAACUCAUUCAGUCAAACUCCUUGGGUGGGGAGCGUUAACUGACAAAAAUGGACAGAAACAGAAGUUUUGGAUUGCUGCAAAUUCCUGGGGAAAAUCUUGGGGAGAAAAUGGUUAUUUUAGGAUUCUACGUGGACAAAAUGAGUGUGAUAUUGAGAAGCUGAUUUUAGCUACUUCGGGAUAGCCACAGUCUUCUACUCUGUAUUGUACCAUACUCUGCUUUAUGUAUCUAUUCUUUCCAUUAUUGCAUAUUGAGUCUUUCUAGAGAAAUAAAAAUUUCAUCUCUG